rnacentral:rRNA from 1 species
AUGGUGGCGAUCGAGGGCCAGAGCCUGGCGGAGACGGCGGCGGUGGCGGCGCCGGCGCCGGCGGGGCUCCCGAAGGAGGCGCGGGGGCUGCUGCACGAGCUGGCGGCGGAGUGGGCGGACGUGGCCGACUGCCGCGCGCUGGAGGUGGUGCCGCUCAAGGGCGCCAUGACCAACGAGGUGUACCAGGUGCGCUGGCUCACCGGCGGCGGCGAGGAGAAGGGGGAGGGCGAGUACCGGAAGGUGCUGAUGCGGGUGUACGGGGAGGGCGUGGAGGUCUUCUUCGACCGGGAGGACGAGGUGCGCACGUUCGAGUGCAUGUCCCGCCACGGCCACGGCCCGCGCCUCCUCGGCCGCUUCCCUACCGGCCGCGUCGAGGAGUUCAUCCACGCCAGGACACUUUCAGCUGUUGACCUGCGUGAUCCAGAGAUUGCAGCUAUUAUAGCAUCCAAAUUGAGGGAGUUCCACCACCUUGACAUGCCAGGUCCAAAACGUGUCCUCAUGUGGGAUAGAUUGAGGAACUGGCUCAAAACUGCCAAGAGCGUCUGCCCCUCUGAUGAAGCCAAAGAGUUCCGUUUGGAUAACCUGGAGAAGGAGAUCAAUGCAUUGGAGAGUGAAUUUUCAGGGGAAGACCAGUGCAUAGGAUUUUGCCACAAUGAUCUCCAGUAUGGCAAUAUCAUGAUUGAUGAAGAGACCAAAGCACUGACCAUCAUUGACUACGAGUAUGCAAGCUUUAAUCCAAUUGCUUUUGAUAUCUCAAACCAUUUCUGCGAGAUGGCUGCGGACUACCAUUCAGAAGAGCCUCAUAUACUGGACUACACAAAAUAUCCAGAUCUCGAUGAACGGAAGAGGUUUGUGCAGACCUACCUGAGCUCUUCAGGUGAGGAACCUGAUGCAGAAAAGAUCAAGGAUCUGAUGAAUAACAUUGAGAAGUACACACUCGCCAGCCAUCUCGUCUGGGGCCUCUGGGGAAUAAUUUCGGAACACGUCAAUGAUAUCGACUUCGACUACAUGGAGUAUGCGCGGCAGAGGCUUGCGCAAUACUGGCUGAAGAAACCCGAGAUCCUAUCCUGCCGUGUCGAUGAUGAAUGA